rnacentral:rRNA from 1 species
AGACCUACGGGUGGCUGCAGUGGGGAAUCUUGGACAAUGGGCGCAAGCCUGAUCCAGCCAUGCCGCGUGAGUGAUGAAGGCCCUAGGGUUGUAAAGCUCUUUCGCCAGGGAAGAUAAUGACGGUACCUGGAUCAGAAGCCCCGGCUAACUCCGUGCCAGCAGCCGCGGUAAUACGGAGGGGGCUAGCGUUGUUCGGCAUUACUGGGCGUAAAGCGCACGUAGGCGGCUAUCCAAGUUGGGGGUGAAAUCCCUGGGCUUAAACCAGGAACUGCCUUCAAAACUGGAUGGCUAGAGUCCGAGAGAGGUGAGUGGAAUUUCCAGUGUAGAGGUGAAAUUCGUAGAUAUUGGAAAGAACACCAGUGGCGAAGGCGGCUCACUGGCUCGGUACUGACGCUGAGGUGCGACAGCGUGGGGAGCAAACAGGAUUAGAUACCCUAGUAGUCC